rnacentral:misc_RNA from 1 species
AUAUACAUUAACAGCAAUUGAAAUUUAGGCACACUACUCCAAUAGAAUUCAAGCAUGGAACCUGCCUUAUUGAUCAGUUCCUCUGUAUCGAUUCUCUUCCUCCUCCUCCUUUGGUUACACACAACUAGAAGAGCAAGAAAUCUGAAACUUCCGCCAAGCCCGCCUGCUCCAGUUCUUGGUCAUCUCCAUCUUCUCAAGCAACCGUUUCACCGCACUCUUCACAAUCUUUCUCAGAAAUAUGGUUCCAUCUUCUCUCUCCAGCUGGGAACCUACUCUGUAAUCGUUGCGUCGUCUAUGUCAGCUGUCGAAGAAUGCUUCACCAAAAAUGAUAUAGUACUCGCGAAUCGCCCUCCCCUCAUCAUGGGAAAGUACCUGAGCUACAACCACACCACCCUUGUCACAGCCCCCUAUGGUGACCAUUGGCGCAACCUUCGCCGGAUAUGUGCUCUUGAAAUCUUGUCAACCAAUCGUCUCAAUAAAUUUGUAGGCAUCCGAAGAGACGAGAUCAAGAUUUUCCUUGAGAAAAUCUAUCGUGUUUCUAGCCAAGAUUUUGCCAAGGUAGAGCUGAGGCCAAUGCUUUCAGAACUAACUUUUAAUAUAAUUACGCGAAUGGUCACAGGGAAGAGAUAUUGUAGCGGUGAGGAUGCAACACAAAUCGAUGAGGCAAACCAGUUUAGGGAGAUGAUAAGGGAGAUUUUUAUAUAUGCAGAGGCUUCAUAUCCAGGAGAUUUCUUGCCAAUUUUACAGUGGUUUGAUUAUCAAGGUUAUACGAAGAAAGUGAAGGAACUUGCUAAAAGAAACGAUGUGCUGUUGCAAGGUCUCAUCGAUGGGCAUAGAAAUGAAAAGGGUAGAAACUCAAUGAUUAGCCACUUGCUUUCUUUGCAGGAAUCGCAGCCGGAAUAUUAUACAGAUGAAAUUAUCAAAGGCCUUGUAGUGGAUAUCGUAUUUGCUGGCACUGAAUCAUCAGCUCUUACAUUAGAAUGGGCAAUGUCCAACCUGCUUAACAAUCCACAAGUGCUUGAGAAAGCUAAGAAAGAGUUAGACUUUGAAAUUGGUCAAGAAAGCUUAAUGGAUGAAUCAGAUGUUUCAAAGUUACCCUAUCUUCAGAGCAUCAUAUUAGAGACUCUUCGAUUGCAUCCUGCAGGUCCACUGCUUCUCCCACAUUUGUCACACAGCGACUGCACUAUACAAGGAUACGAUGUGCCAAGCAAUACAAUAGUAUUUGUUAAUGCAUGGGCUAUACACAGGGACCCUCAGCUGUGGGAUGAUGCAGGGAAAUUUAAGCCUGAGAGGUUUGAAGGAGCUCAAGGUGAGCCCUACAACUCCAAGUUCUUGCCAUUCGGCCUUGGCAGGAGGGCUUGUCCAGGAAUGGGUCUUGCCAAUAGGGUUAUAGGCUUCACUUUGGGAUGUAUGAUCCAAUGCUUUGAAUGGAUGAGGGUAAAUGCUCAAGAAGUUGACAUGACUGAAGGGAUUGGGCUCACAAUGCCUAAGGCUAAGCCGCUGGAGGCCAUGUGCAAAGCACGUGAUAU